AUAAAAUAGUUGGGAGUGUUUAUCGCCCCCUAGUGGGCGGAUUGAUGUGUCCACGUCUAUACCUGCCCUGAUGGUACUACGUGCUGCAGAACUCCUUAUGGACAGUGGUCAUGCUGCCCAUACGCUGUGGGUCAGUGCUGCUUUGAUGGCAUCCACUGCUGUCCCUUUGGUUAUCACUGUGACAGCACAUCCACCUACUGUUUAAGAGGAGCACUGAGAUUUCCUGCUUCCCAACAGAUUGCUGCCAUGCAGAGCAACACCAUUCAGGAUUCAUGCUGUCAGAGCGAGACAGGCUGCUGUCCCAUCGGCUUCCAGUGUGAUGAAGAGAGCAAAACCUGCAUGAGUGACAAUGGUCUUUGAGCAGAAGGUUAUUCAGAGGAAAAAGAAAUAAAAAGUCCACAAAUGUAUUUGAUCAACAAGGGAACAUUUUCUUCAGGUCCAUGAUUAGAUUUUUGUAAAGCCACAAUCAACAUGAGCAGUUACACAGCACAUUAAUAAUUUUUGAUUUUGAAGAACUACGAAAUGUUACAAAUAUAAACAGAUCAAUCUCCAACCCUAUUAAAAAAAAUCAUUUAAAUCCAAAAAA